rnacentral:tRNA from 1 species
CAGAGAAUAGUUUAUAUAAAAUAUUAAUUUUGGAAGUUAAUGAAAAAUUAAUUUGAUUUUUCUCUGA